rnacentral:rRNA from 1 species
AAGGCCUGCAGCUUGCUGCGGGUACUCGAGUGGCGAACGGGUGAGUAACACGUGGGUGAUCUGCCUUGCACUUCGGGAUAAGCUUGGGAAACUGGGUCUAAUACCGGAUAGGACAGCUGUUUAGUGUCAGUUGUGGAAAGUUUUUUCGGUGCAAGAUGAGCUCGCGGCCUAUCAGCUUGUUGGUGGGGUAAUGGCCUACCAAGGCGUCGACGGGUAGCCGGCCUGAGAGGGUGUACGGCCACAUUGGGACUGAGAUACGGCCCAGACUCCUACGGGAGGCAGCAGUGGGGAAUAUUGCACAAUGGGCGGAAGCCUGAUGCAGCGACGCCGCGUGGGGGAUGAAGGCCUUCGGGUUGUAAACUCCUUUCGACAGGGACGAAGCGUAAGUGACGGUACCUGUAUAAGAAGCACCGGCUAACUACGUGCCAGCAGCCGCGGUAAUACGUAGGGUGCGAGCGUUGUCCGGAAUUACUGGGCGUAAAGAGCUCGUAGGUGGUUUGUCGCGUCGUCUGUGAAAUUCCGGGGCUUAACUCCGGGCGUGCAGGCGAUACGGGCUGACUUGAGUGCUGUAGGGGAGACUGGAAUUCCUGGUGUAGCGGUGAAAUGCGCAGAUAUCAGGAGGAACACCGAUGGCGAAGGCAGGUCUCUGGGCAGUAACUGACGCUGAGGAGCGAAAGCAUGGGUAGCGAACAGGAUUAGAUACCCUGGUAGUCCAUGCCGUAAACGGUGGGCGCUAGGUGUAGGGGGCUUCCACGUCUUCUGUGCCGUAGCUAACGCAUAAGCGCCCCGCCUGGGGAGU